rnacentral:rRNA from 1 species
CCUACGGGUGGCAGCAGUGAGGAAUAUUGGUCAAUGGGCGCGAGCCUGAACCAGCCAAGUAGCGUGAAGGAUGACUGCCCUACGGGUUGUAAACUUCUUUUAUAAAGGAAUAAAGUGAGGCACGUGUGCCUUUUGUAUGUACUUUAUGAAUAAGGAUCGGCUAACUCCGUGCCAGCAGCCGCGGUAAUACGGAGGAUCCGAGCGUUAUCCGGAUUUAUUGGGUUUAAAGGGUGCGUAGGCGGAAUGCCAAGUCAGCGGUAAAAUCGCGGGGCUCAACCUCGCUCCGCCGUUGAAACUGGCGUUCUUGAGUGGGCGAGAAGUAUGCGGAAUGCGUGGUGUAGCGGUGAAAUGCAUAGAUAUCACGCAGAACUCCGAUUGCGAAGGCAGCAUACCGGCGCCCAACUGACGCUGAAGCACGAAAGCGUGGGUAUCGAACAGGAUUAGAUACCCCUGUAGUC